rnacentral:lncRNA from 1 species
CUGGCUUUGAACUUGAGAUCCUCCUGCCUUAACCUCCCCAAGCAUGUACUACCACACCUAGCAAAUUGGUGCUCUUUUUUUUUUUUUUUUUUAAUGACAACACCAUACCCACUCUUUAUUUUGACCAAAAGUUUGUGGUUUUACAUGAAUGUCUAUCAUGGAAAAUGGAACCACAUCAUUUAGGGAAUAAUUUCAAACAACACUUGGAGUUUUCCAUUAGCUCUAAUGGUAUUAAUUCAGCAUUAAAGGCUUUAAUGAGCUGAGGGUGUACCUUACGGUACAGCAUUUGCUCAGCAUGCAUGAGGUCCUGGAUUGGAUUUCCACCACAGCAAAAAAAAAAAAGUUUGAUUUUUUUGUUGUUGUUGUUGGUUUGGCCAAUUGCAGUGGCAUGUGCCUUUAAUUCCUGCUACUUAGGAGGCAUAGGUAGAAGUCAUCAGGAGUUAACAUCAUUUUAAGUCCAGUCUGGGCAAUGUAGUGAGACAGGAUCUCACAAAACAAAGACGUAAAGAGUAGGAAACAAUCAAAUGUUGCUCAUUGCCUUGCCCUCUAGUCACUUAAGUGCUACUAUUGCUUUAGAGACGUACAUCUCAUAAACCCAUAUUCUUAUCUCUUCCCUGCUUUCAGUUCCACUUUAAUAUCUUUAGCUUUCCUCUCAAACCAUGGAAAACUAUAAAUCCCUUUCAGAAUGUUUAUAAUCCCCAUCUAUAUCUUUAUACUCCCUCAAAGGUUC